CUGCGUUAGCCUCAGCAUGACUGAGUUCUGGGUCUGUUUCAGCUGCUGCAUCGCAGAGCAGCCACAGCCAAAGAGACGGCGACGAAUAGAUCGCUCCAUGAUUGGGGAGCCAACAAACUUUGUCCACACCACACAUGUGGAUACUGUUCAGGCCCAGAUGAAAUCUAAGGGUGGCUAUGGACAUGGGGGUUCUGAAGGCCCUCAAUUAUAACAAGAACAAUUUGGAAAUCCAACUACUGAUGUCAAUUUGAAGAGGCGUUUUAUAAUGCAGUUUCACCUGAAACGGACACAGGACCUAAGUAUCAUACCACUGCUCUUCCAGGAAAUUGUAUAUAAUUUAAUUGUUAUAAAAACACUGCUAUUCAUUGUCUGCCAUGCUGUUGCACUGCAAGAGUAGAUUGGGAUGGGUUAGUAGAUCAAUUUCUUAGUCAUUGAAUGCUUGUGCGUAUGAUGAAAAAUGUUCAGGCGUGUUUGCUGUUUUUUUAGACCUCGUGGAUGCCUGUAUUUAUUAUGUGAUUUGUGGAAAUAUGACUGUGUGGCUGGGCCACACUGGAGAUCUCAAGAUAUGAGUCAUAGUAUAGAAAUAUCUGGUUCUUACCCAAAUCUCAAAGGCUCUUAAAAUGAUUUAAAGUAUUUAGGCAACAAGUCAAUGUUCUAAGUUUCAUUCUAAAAUCACCUCUGAUUCAGGAGACUAUUUUUAAGUAAAGAAUGCUGUUUUCUAAAUGAACUUGAAACAUGUAGGGCA